GCCAGGGUGGCCUAGUGGUUAGAGUGCCAGACUAGGACCUGGGACAGUUCAGGGUUCAAAUCCCCACUUGGCU